rnacentral:misc_RNA from 1 species
AAGUCGUAACAAGGUAACCGUAGGUGAACCUGCGGUUGGAUCAUUAAAAAUCAAUUCACGUUUUCCCUCUCACGAGUUGAAAACGUUCCUUUCGGGGUAAACACAUUUUGUGCAAUGUCCGUCUCUGGCGAGGGGGCAGCGAAAGCUGCUUGCCAUCACAUGCCUGCAUGUGCCGUGGGCACCUCGCCAAACCCUUCUAUACUUUUAUUCGUUCUUUGAUGUCUGACAUUACUUGUAUAAAUAUACAAAACAACUUUUGGCAACGGAUCUCUUGGCUCUC